rnacentral:rRNA from 1 species
UGGGGAAUAUUGCACAAUGGAGGGAACUCUGAUGCAGCGACGCCGCGUGAGUGAUGAAGGAAUUCGUUUCGUAAAACUCUGUUCUAUGGGAAGAAAAGGACUGUACCAUAGGAGAAAGCUCCGGCUAAAUACGUGCCAGCAGCCGCGGUAAUACGUAUGGAGCGAGCGUUGUCCGGAAUUAUUGGGCGUAAAGGGUGCGCAGGCGGCUUUGCAAGUUGGAUGUGAAAUAUUGUGGCUCAACCACAAACGUGCAUCCAAAACUGCAAAGCUUGAGUUAAGGAGAGGUAAGUGGAAUUCCUGGUGUAGCGGUGGAAUGCGUAGAUAUCAGGAGGAAUACCGGUGGCGAAGGCGACUUACUGGACUUAAACUGACGCUCAGGCACGAAAGCGUGGGGAGCAAACAGG